rnacentral:rRNA from 1 species
AUGGACGCCUACUCGAAGGACAUGCCGCGCGGCGUCGGCGGCGGAGACGACGGCGAGAAGAAGGUGCGGCGCUCGGAGUCGGGUACUGAGGAGGUGGACCUUACCCUCGAGCUGUCGCUCGGGGGGCGGCUCGGGGCGAAGCGGAGGAGAGUCGAGGGGCUCGCCGGGUCCUCAUCGGUGGCGGUGGCGCCGCCCGCGCCUGUCGGGACAAACUCAUCGCAGGGGGCUGGUUUCCCUCCGCAUGGCGUCGCCGUGGAGCCCUCAGCUUUGCUGCGUGCAACCUUGAACCCUUUCCUUGGGAGCGCCUGCGCCGCUGAGGUCCAGCCCUCGGCGACCCCUUUGCGCAGCAUCAAGAUGGAGCCCGUGGAAGGAACUCCUAGGGCUGAAGGGCGGAGCCUGUCAUCAGCUGUUGUGCCCUGGUCUGAGGGUACAAACGGCGUCAUGGCAACCGCUUCUUCUUUAGCAGUGGCGGUGAUGAUGGCCGCAACCCUUGGUUCUAGGGGAGAGCAGCAAGGUGCUUCAGAGAGACACGCGGCCCUGGCGCGGGAGAUGCCAUUGGUGUGGACGAGCGGGCUCCACAAUGGCAUGAGGACUGUAGGCUUUCUGUACCAGUACAGCAGAGUUGACGAGUUGAGGAUCAUGUGUGUGUGCCAUGGUAGCUUCCUCACUCCGGCGGAGUUUGUGGAGCAUGCUGGAGGCGGCCAAGUCGCCAACCCGCUGAGGAGCAUCAUCGUCAAGACCCCGUCUUGGCUUUAG